rnacentral:miRNA from 1 species
UCUUCCCAGCCUUCACUCUCUC